rnacentral:rRNA from 1 species
UACGAAGGGGGCUAGCGUUGCUCGGAAUACUGGGCGUAAAGCGUGCGCAGGCGGUGAUGUAAGACAGGUGUGAAAUCCCCGGGCUUAACCUGGGAACUGCAUUUGUGACUGCAUCGCUGGAGUGCGGGCAGAGGGGGAUGGAAUUCCGCGUGUAGCGGUGGAAUGCGCAGAUAUCAGGAGGAACACCGGUGGCGAAGGCGGGGUCUCUGGGCCGUAACUGACGCUGGAGGAGCGAAAGCCAUGGGGGAGCGAACAGG